rnacentral:rRNA from 1 species
CGGAUCAGCAUGCCGCGGUGAAUACGUUCCCGGGCCUUGUACACACCGCCCGUCACACCAUGGGAGUUGGGAGCACCCGAAGCCGGUGAGGUAACCGAAAGGAGCCAGCCGUCGAAGGUGAGACCAAUGACUGGGUGAAGUCGUAACAAGGUAGC